rnacentral:rRNA from 1 species
ACUUACCAGGUCAAGACAUGGGCGUGAUUGACAGGCUAAUGACUUUUCUCGAUUCCAUGGAUGGUGGUGCAUGGUCGCACUUAGUUGGUGCAGUGAUUUGUCAGGUUUAUUCCGGUAACGAACGAGACCUCGGCCUUGUAAAUAGCUAUGCUGCUUACAGGGACAUUGGCGGCUACGCCAAGGAAGCUCGAGGCAAUUGCAGAUCUGGAAUGCCCUUAGAUGUCCUGGGUCGCACGCGUGCUACAAUGACGCCACGAACGAGCUUGCGUGAUGAAAGUUACGCAUAAUCAGCAGUCGGCGUCUUAAGGGAUAGUCUCUUGUAACUGUGGGACUCCAACUAGGAAUGUCUCGUAAGCACAAGUCAACAUCUUGUGUUGAUUACGUCCCUGCUCUUUGUACACACCGCCCGUCGCUCCUACCGAUCGAGUGUUUAGGUGAAUUUGAUGGACGUAAGGAAGUCAAAUAAACCUGAGCACUAGAGGAAGGAGAAGUCGAGCAUC